rfam:Canis lupus familiaris chromosome 4, whole genome shotgun sequence.
AGCUUUGCACAGUGGCAGUAUCGUAGCCAAUGAGGUUUUUCCAAGGUGCGCUUAUUGCUAAUUGAAAACUUUUCUACUGACUGACCCAGCCAGGUGCUCUGUGAAUCUUUAUUUUUUACUGUGUGU